CGGGAAAAGCUCAAAUUUAAAAUCUGGUGACUUCGUCAUCCGAAUUGUAAUCUGGAGAAGCGUUUUCGUGCUGGACCGUGUACAAGUCUCUUGGAACAGAGCGUCGCAGAGGGUGAGAAUCCCGUCUAUGACACGGACCCCCAGUGCAUUGUGAUACGCUCUCGAA
rnacentral:rRNA from 1 species